CGGGGCAACUGGCACAUUAAAUUAAUUUGCACAUUCCUGGCACCCACAUCCUGGAUGCUAAUCGGAGGGCAAGGAAAACCUUGCAGGGUUCCCAACGUGGAUGGAGUCCUCGUCGGUUCUUCCCUUCCUGCGUCUUUGCAGCACCGGUUCCGGCCCAGGUCCUUCGCGCACCUCGCAACAGGGUGGGGAGAAGGGCCGUGAGGGACGCCAGCCGGGGGUGAGGAUGGCACCGGAUGAAGCGAAGGCUCCGAAUAUGCUGAUCAGCUGCUGACGGAGCAUCUGAGGGCACCUCUCUGGCUCUCUGGUGCCACCUUGUGGUCCAGAAGGGUACAUGCAAAGAUAUACAACCAUUCAGGCAGCAUCUUUCUUUCUUUCUUUCUUUCUUUCUUUCUUUCUUUCUUUCUUUCUUUCUUUCUUUCUUUCUUUCUUUUGAUUUCUCUUUUCCUUUUCUUUUCCUUCCUUCCUUUUUUCUCUUUCUCUUUCUUUCCUUUGAUUUCUCUUUUCUUUCCCUUUCCCUUCCUUCCUUUUUUCUUUUUCUCUUUCUUUCCUUUGAUUUCUCUUUUCUUUCCCUUUUCCUUCCUUCCUUUUUUCUUUUUCUCUUUCUUUCCUUUGAUUUCUCUUUUCUUUCCCUUUUCAUUUUUCUUUUACUUUCUUUCCUUCUUUCCUUUGAUUUCUCUUUUCCUACCCUUUUCCUUCCUUUUUUCUUUUUCUUUCUUUCCUUUGAUUUCUCUUUUCCUUCCCUUUUCCUUCCUUCCUUCCUUUUUUUCUUUUCUUUCUCUUUUCUUUCUUUUCUCCUUUCCUUCCUUUCCCCCCUUUGCUUCCUUCCUUUUCUCAUUCCUUCUUUUACCUUCCUUUCUUCUUUCUUUCCUUCCUAUCUUCUUUCCUUCCUCCUCUCCUCCUUCUCACUUUUCCAUCAUUCCUCAUUUAUUUUUCUUUCUCCCUCCUUCCUUUCCACGCUUCCUUCCUUUCUUCCCUUCCUUUUUCUUUCCUCCUUACUUUCUUUUUUCUCUUUCUUUCUUCCUUUCGCUUUUCUUUUCCCUUCCUUUUCUUCCUUCCUUUUUUCUUUCUUUUUUUUCUUCCUUCCUUCCUUUUUUCUUUUUUUCUUUACUUUGCUUUCUCUUGACCUUUCCUUUUCCUUUCUUCCUUUUUUCCUUUUCUUUCUUUCUUUCUUUCUUUCUUUCUUUCUUUCUUUCUUUCUUUCUUUCUUUCUUUCUUUCUCUUUCUUUUUCUUUCUCUUUCUUCUUCCUUCCUUUCCUCCUUCCCUUUUUUUCCCUCCUUCCUUCCUUAUCCAGCAAAUGCUCUUCUUUAUUUAUCCUUCCCAAAAUGAAAACAAUUC
rnacentral:lncRNA from 1 species